rnacentral:rRNA from 1 species
GACGAACGCUGGCGGCGUGCUUAACACAUGCAAGUCGAACGGAAAGGCCCUGCUUUUGUGGGGUGCUCGAGUGGCGAACGGGUGAGUAACACGUGAGUAACCUGCCCUUGACUUUGGGAUAACUUCAGGAAACUGGGGCUAAUACCGGAUAGGAGCUCCUGCUGCAUGGGGGGGGUUGGAAAGUUUCGGCGGUUGGGGAUGGACUCGCGGCUUAUCAGCUUGUUGGUGGGGUAGUGGAUUACCAAGGCUUUGACGGGUAGCCGGCCUGAGAGGGUGACCGGCCACAAUGGGACUGAGAGACGGACCAGACUCCUACGGGAGGCAGCAGUGGGGAAUAUUGCACAAUGGGCGGAAGCCUGAUGCAGCAACGCCGCGUGCGUGAUGACGGCCUUCGGGUUGUAAACAGCUUUCGACUGUGACGAAGCGUGAGUGACGGUAAUGGGUAAAGAAGCACCGGCUAACUACGUG